ACAUACCCCAUGUCUCACCACGAUGAUGGAGCUACAGUGGGACUUGGAAUCCAGAUGUGUGAAGGAUGGAGGGUUGAAGCCGCACUCAGCUUCCUGCCCCACCAGAGGAAGUGGGGAGAGACGGCAGGUGCAGUGAUGGCUGGCGGAGUCAUGGACAAGGAGUACGUGGGUUUUGCUGCCCUCCCCAACCAGCUGCACCGCAAGUCUGUCAAGAAGGGGUUUGACUUCACGCUAAUGGUGGCAGGGGAGUCAGGCCUAGGGAAAUCCACCCUCAUCAACAGCCUCUUCCUCACCAACCUCUAUGAGGAUCGCCAGGUGCCAGAGGCCAGUGCUCGCUUGACACAGACCCUGGCCAUUGAGCGCCGGGGCGUAGAGAUUGAGGAAGGGGGUGUGAAAGUGAAGCUGACCCUUGUGGACACACCUGGCUUUGGGGACUCAGUGGACUGCUCUGACUGCUGGCUUCCGGUGGUGAAAUUCAUCGAGGAGCAAUUUGAGCAGUACCUUAGGGAUGAGAGUGGCCUGAACCGGAAGAACAUCCAGGACUCCCGAGUCCACUGCUGCCUCUACUUCAUCUCACCCUUCGGCCGGGGGUCUGGUGGGGGGAUCCUGGGGGCUGGGGCAUUUAGGGAGGGCUGGGGGGUCUCUGCCCCCUGAGGCUGGGCAAUGACCAAUCCCUGGGUGCAGGCUCCGGCCCCUAGAUGUGGCCUUCCUCCGGGCAGUACACGAGAAAGUCAACAUCAUCCCAGUCAUUGGCAAAGCAGAUGCUCUGAUGCCCCAGGAAACCCAGGCCCUCAAGCAGAAGGUGUGAGUGAUGACCUCUGACCUUUGACCCCAUGUGAGGCCAAACCUGAUUUCAGCUUAGACUUCUUUGAUCUUGAAGUGGCCUUUCUGGAGCAUGGUGCAUCAGGCUAGAUUGUAGGAGAAGCUUCUGAGGAAGGCGGGUGGUAAGCCGCCAGCAUAGCCAUGUCUCUGAAGGCUCAAAAUAGGCUACAUAUGCAGCCCCUGGGCUAGAUGCCUGGCUGAGGCCUAUUUGAGGGCAGGAGCAUAGACAUGAGAACAUAGUGACUUCCCUCUGGCCCCCACCCCGUGUCUUCAGAGCCCUUUCCCACUGUUUCUGCCUAUAUCUCUCUCGGCCUCUCUUUCUCUCUUUUUUUUUUUAGAUAGAGUCUCACUCUGUGGCCCAGGCUGCAGUACAGUGGCAAGAUCAUAGCUCACUGCAGCCUCGAACUUGUAGGCGCAAGUGAUCCUCCUGCCUCAGCCUCUUGAGUAGCAGGGACUAUAGAUGAACACCACCAUGCCUGGCUAACAUAAAAAAUAUUUUUUUGGCUGGGCUUGGUGGCAGACACCUGUUAAUCCCAGCACUUUGGGAGGCUGAGGUCAGUGGAUUGCUUGAGCUGAAGAGUUUAAGACAAGCCACGGCAACAUGGUAAAACCCCAUCUCUACAAAAAGUACAAAAAUUAGCCAGGUGUGGUGGUGUGCACUUGUAGUCCCAGUUACUCAGGAGGCUGAGAUGGGAGGAUCACCUGAACCUGAGAGGUUGAGGCUGCAGUGAACCAAGAUGGAGCCACUGGACUCCAGCCUGGGUGAUAGAGUGAAACCUUGUUUCAAAAUAUAUGUGUAUAUUUUUUGUAGAGAUGGGAUCUAGCUAUAUUGCCCAGGCUUCUCCUGGUCUCUUAAUGUCUGCCCCAUCUUAGAAUCUUGUGUUCCUCACCAUCUAUGUCUCUGAGAUUUUGUUUUUGUCUUCCUGUAUGUCCAUCUCUCCCCAUCUCUGUCUUUCAUGUCUUUCUCUCUGUCUCUGACCACCCAGUGUCUCUGUGUCUCACUGUCUCUGGUCAUGAAAUGUCUGUCAUUGUGGCCCGUUUCACACUGUCUCUAUAUCUGUUUCCCCUGAGAUCCGGGAUCAGUUGAAGGAAGAGGAGAUCCACAUCUACCAGUUCCCCGAAUGUGACUCUGAUGAAGAUGAAGACUUCAAGAGGCAGGAUGCAGAGAUGAAGGAAAGCAUCCCUUUUGCAGUCGUGGGAUCAUGCGAGGUGGUGAGGGAUGGCGGGAACCGGCCGGUGAGGGGACGCCGCUACUCCUGGGGGACCGUGGAGGUGGAGAACCCACAUCACUGCGAUUUCCUGAACCUGCGACGGAUGCUGGUGCAGACACACCUGCAGGACCUGAAAGAGGUGACGCACGAUCUGCUCUACGAGGGCUACCGGGCCCGCUGCCUACAGAGCCUGGCCCGGCCUGGGGCUCGCGAUCGAGCCAGCCGCAGUAAGCUUUCCCGCCAGAGCGCCACGGAGAUCCCGCUGCCCAUGCUGCCUCUGGCGGACACCGAGAAGCUGAUCCGCGAGAAAGACGAAGAGCUGCGCCGCAUGCAAGAGAUGCUGGAGAAGAUGCAGGCCCAAAUGCAGCAGAGCCAGGCCCAGGGCGAGCAGUCAGACGCCCUCUGAGGCCACGCCCCGCCCGGCCUUACCUCGGCUCCGCCUUCAGUCGGCCUCUUGUCCAAUCCCCGCGCCCCACACUGCCCAGCGCCCCCCGGGACCUCCGCGGGUGCCGCCCUCGCGCGGGCUAGGGGGAGGUUCUCCCAGCCUGAGUCCGUAGCCCCGCCCCGGCGCUGGUCCCGCCCACCCAGACACCGCCCACUUCCCGGCCCGGGGCCUGCACAAUCUCCGACCGCAUCACUGUCUUCCGGAGUCCCCCUUCUUCUCCCAGACUCUGUCUUCAAUAAAAACUGAGCUUCCCGCGGC
rnacentral:sRNA from 1 species